rnacentral:rRNA from 1 species
UGGGGAAUAUUGCACAAUGGGGGAAACCCUGAUGCAGCGACGCCGCGUGAGCGAAGAAGUAUUUCGGUAUGUAAAGCUCUAUCAGCAGGGAAGAUGAUGACGGUACCUGACUAAGAAGCCCCGGCUAACUACGUGCCAGCAGCCGCGGUAAUACGUAGGGGGCAAGCGUUAUCCGGAUUUAUUGGGUUUAAAGGGUGCGUAGGCUGUAAGUCAAGUCAGCGGUGAAAAGUCGGGGCUAAACCUUGAGGGUGCCGUUGAAACUGAUUUACUAGAAUGUGGAUGAUGCCGGCGGAAUGUGUCAAGUAGCGGUGAAAUGCAUAGAUAUGACACAGAAGGCCGAUUGCGAAGGCAGCUGGCAAAGGCACGAUUGACGCUGAGGCACGAAAGUGCGGGGAUCGAACAGGAUUAGAUACCCUGGUAGU